GGGUCUUUAGCUCAGCGGUAGAGCGGCAGACUUCGGUUCUUGAGACUGAAGUGUUUCUUCCUGGUGUUUUCUGCAGGUCGCGGGUUCAAUCCCCGUAGGACUCU
rnacentral:tRNA from 1 species